ACUGAAAACAGUAUGAUCGAUUUUAUGACUUAGCUAUCACAAACACUUGUUAUGACUCUAUGAAUAGUCGUUGACCAAAACAAAAUCAUCACACUUCUUGCCUAUAAAGACUGCAUAUGGUGUAGUAAAAUAUGUACAUAGAUUUUAUUAAUGAAAUUCGUCCGACUUCACAAAGUUGUAGUCUCCAUCAUCUAUGACAGAGGAUCAAAAUUCACUUCACCCUUUGGAAAAUCUUUUCACGAAGCAUGGGCUACUCGGGUAGAUCUUAUUAUUGUAUUUCACCCGCCAUAUAAACGUUUUGAGUGCAUUGUACGAAUCUUACAAGAUAUGUUAAGCGUGUAUUUUUGAUACCAUUAGCGGAAUUUGACUACGGCAACAACUUUCAGCCAAGCAUUCAGAUGGCUCUAUAUAAAGCCUAGUAAGGUAGAUAAUGUCGUUCUCCCACCAAAUGGUUCAAAGAAAUCGAGGAUAAUGUAUUAAAUUUUGACUCUAGACAUGGUAGCGGAAGUUGUGGACAAGGUCAAGUUAACCAAACAGAAGCUGAUCACAGUUCAAGCAGAUAAAAGCCUCAUGCGAAUAGGAGGAGAGACAUAGUGUACAUAGUUAGGGACAAAGUAUUUCUAUGUAAGAUUCCCUAUAAGAGUGUUAGGAUCGAGAAUCCCGGAUAGUGUGGAAUUAAACAAAGUAAUCAACUAAAGAUAAUAACAAAGAUGAUAAUAACGAUAAGUAGAGAAAAUAAAAGAGACAUAAAUUUAACGUGGUUCGGUCAACUUGACCUACGUCCACAACCAAAAGGAAGAGUAACUUUACUAAACACCAACAGAAUAAAAGAGAGUACAAAUACACAAAAGAGAGUACAAAAUUAGAGUAAUUAAAUAUUCUUAUAUCCCAAAUACCCAAGAGAAUAAUCUCACAAAUAUCACUCCAAAGAAUGGUUCGCUCAAAGUAUUUUUCAACGCAACUCUCUCACAAAUACUCUCUACAAAGAAGAAAACAAACACAACUAAAUCUUAUCAAAUGUUGGUGUUCUUCUCAAA
rnacentral:lncRNA from 1 species